rnacentral:rRNA from 1 species
UUAUAUGAGAGUUUGAUCCUGGCUCAGGACGAACGCUGGCGGCGUGCCUAAUACAUGCAAGUCGAACGCACGAAGUUGAAGAGCUUGCUCUUUAACCAAGUGAGUGGCGGACGGGUGAGUAACACGUGGGUAACCUACCCAUUAGAGGGGGAUAACAUUCGGAAACGGAUGCUAAUACCGCAUAGUUUCAGGAAUCGCAUGAUUCGUGAAGGAAAGGUGGCUUCGGCUACCACUAAUGGAUGGACCCGCGGCGUAUUAGCUAGUUGGUGAGGUAAUGGCUCACCAAGGCAAUGAUACGUAGCCGACCUGAGAGGGUGAUCGGCCACACUGGGACUGAGACACGGCCCAGACUCCUACGGGAGGCAGCAGUAGGGAAUCUUCCGCAAUGGACGAAAGUCUGACGGAGCAACGCCGCG